rnacentral:rRNA from 1 species
GAUGAACGCUGGCGGCGUGCUUAACACAUGCAAGUCGAACGAUGAACCUGGAGCUUGCUCUGGGGGUUUAGUGGCGAACGGGUGAGUAACACGUGAGCAACCUGCCCCUGACUCUGGGAUAAGCGCUGGAAACGGCGUCUAAUACUGGAUAUGUGACGUGACCGCAUGGUCUGCGUUUGGAAAGAUUUUUCGGUUGGGGAUGGGCUCGCGGCCUAUCGGCUUGUUGGUGAGGUAAUGGCUCACCAAGGCGUCGACGGGUAGCCGGCCUGAGAGGGUGACCGGGCAAACUGGGACUGAGACACGGCCCAGACUCCUACGGGAGGCAGCAGUGGGGAAUAUUGCACAAUGGGCGGAAGCCUGAUGCAGCAACGCCGCGUGAGGGAUGACGGCCUUCGGGUUGUAAACCUCUUUUAGCAGGGAAGAAGCGAGAGUGACGGUACCUGCAGAAAAAGCGCCGGCUAACUACGUGCCAGCCGCCGCCGUAAGAC